AGCAGCCGCGGUAAUUCCAGCUCCAAUAGCGUAUAUUAAAGUUGUUGCAGUUAAAAAGCUCGUAGUUGAAUUUCGGGAUCAGUACGCUGGUCGUGCCUUCGGUAUGUACUGGUGUUACUGGUUCCUACCUUCUGACGAACCGUCAUGUCAUUAAUUUGGUGUGGCGGGGAAUCAGGACUGUUACUUUGAAAAAAUUGAGUGUUUAAAGCAGGCUCGCGCUUGAAUACAUUAGCAUGGAAUAAUGAAAUAGGACGUUCGGUCCUAUUUUGUGGUUUCUAGGAUUGACGUAAUGAUUAAUAGGGAUAGUUGGGGGCAUUAGUAUUCAAUUGUCAGAGGUGAAAUUCUGGAUUUAUUGAAGCUAACUACUGCGAAAGCAUUUGCCAAGGAUGUUUCAUUAAUCAAGAACGAAAGUUAGGGAUACGGAAGACGAUCAGAUACCGUGUAGUCGUUAAACCAUUAAACUAUAGCCGUACUAGGGAUCGGAAUGGAUUGUUAAUUUUUUAAUGUACUUCAAUUCGGG
rnacentral:rRNA from 1 species